rnacentral:rRNA from 1 species
CUAAGCACAUGCAAGUCGAGCGGACCGAAAGGAGAGCUCGCUCUCCUUUCGGUCAGCGGCGGACGGGUGAGUAACACGUGGGUAACCUGCCUGUAAGACCGGGAUAACUCGCGGAAACGCGAGCUAAUACCGGAUAGGUCCCGUGGCCGCAUGGCGACGGGAGGAAAGAUGGCGCGAGCUAUCGCUUACAGAUGGGCCCGCGGCGCAUUAGCUAGUUGGUGGGGUAACGGCCCACCAAGGCGACGAUGCGUAGCCGACCUGAGAGGGUGACCGGCCACACUGGGACUGAGACACGGCCCAGACUCCUACGGGAGGCAGCAGUAGGGAAUCUUCCGCAAUGGACGCAAGUCUGACGGAGCAACGCCGCGUGAGCGAUGAAGGUCUUCGGAUCGUAAAGCUCUGUUGUCAGGGAAGAACACGUGUGAGAGUAACUGCUCACACCUUGACGGUACCUGACCAGAAAGCCACGGCUAACUACGUGCCAGCAGCCGCGGUAAUACGUAGGUGGCAAGCGUUGUCCGGAAUUAUUGGGCGUAAAGCGCGCGCAGGCGGCUUCUUAAGUCUGAUGUGAAAUCUCGCGGCUCAACCGUGAGCGGUCAUUGGAAACUGGGGAGCUUGAGUACAGAAGAGGAGAGCGGAAUUCCACGUGUAGCGGUGAAAUGCGUAGAGAUGUGGAGGAACACCAGUGGCGAAGGCGG